rnacentral:rRNA from 1 species
UACAGAGGUCUCAAGCGUUGUUCGGAUUUAUUGGGCGUAAAGAGCGUGUAGGCGGCCAGCCAGGUCCGUUGUGAAAACUGGAGGCUCAACCUCCAGACGUCGAUGGAAACCGUCUGGCUAGAGUCCGGAAGAGGAGAGUGGAAUUCCUGGUGUAGCGGUGAAAUGCGCAGAUAUCAGGAAGAACACCCGUGGCGAAAGCGGCUCUCUGGGACGGUACUGACGCUGAGACGCGAAAGCGUGGGGAGCGAACAGG